UCCUGUCUUCAGGUCCUCAACGUGUCUCCAUCCAUUCUCCUGUCUUUAGGUCCUCAACGUGUCUCCAUCCAUUCUCCUGUCUUUAGGUCCUCAACGUGUCUCCAUCCAUUCCCCUGUCUUUAGGUCCUCAACGUGUCUCCAUCCAUUCUCCUGUCUUUAGGUCCUCAACGUGUCUCCAUCCAUUCUCCUGUCUUCAGGUCCUCAACGUGUCUCCAUCCAUUCUCCUGUCUUCAGGUCCUCAACGUGUCUCCAUCCAUUCCCCUGUCUUCAGGUCCUCAACGUGUCUCCAUCCAUUCCCCUGUCUUUAGGUCCUCAACGUGUCUCCAUCCAUUCCCCUGUCUUUAGGUCCUCAAUGUGUCUCCAUCCAUUCUCCUGUCUUUAGGUCCUCAACGUGUCUCCAUCCAUUCUCCUGUCUUUAGGUCCUCAAUGUGUCUCCAUCCA